rnacentral:rRNA from 1 species
AUUGAACGCUGGCGGCAUGCCUUACACAUGCAAGUCGAGCGGCAGCGCGGGGCAACCCUGGCGGCGAGCGGCGAACGGGUGAGUAAUGCAUCGGAACGUGUCCUCUUGUGGGGAUAACCAGUCGAAAGACUGGCUAAUACCGCAUGAGCUCGUAAGAGGAAAGCAGGGGACCCGCAAGGGCCUUGCGCGAGAGGAGCGGCCGAUGCCCGAUUAGCAGUUGGUGGGUAAAGCCUACCAAGGCGACGAUCGGUAGCUGGUCUGAGAGGACGACCAGCCACACUGGGACUGAGACACGGCCCAGACUCCUACGGGAGGCAGCAGU